GUUUUCUACUUCCGACGUUUCUGUAGAAGUCAUCAUUUUUUUUGACAGUUAGACAACACACUAGAUAACGCCAGCCGUCUUCACAGCACCGCGAUAACAGUGCGCAGGACCUGUACGAACAAUGACGGAUUACUGAGAACCUCAAAAUCUUUCUAAGUUGGGGCCCACGAAUGUCUGAAUUCGUUCCUGUUUGUGCAACAGCGCACGCGACACGCACAUCGAUCAUCGAUUCAAAAUGCUGCGCCAACUUCUCGUGGUGUAUACGGUUCUAAUUGACCCACUUCAUUUCUCUGAUGAAGUACGUGUAACACGUACAUAUAUUAGAAAUAACGAUCCGUUAAUAUCAUGGCGUUUUCAACAAGAGAUUAUUUUGAGCUCUGGAUUCCACACAGACAAGUAUUAUUCUCAUAAAUUUACUUAAUCUGUAUUUUAAUUUGACAUGCAACUCAUACGCGUAAUAAUGACGGAUAACAUAACAUGUGAGCAUCGAUGGCAAUUGGCAAUUGUUAUCGCUGGAUCGACGAGGAUCGUUCACGCGGAUCUCGGGGAUACAGCAAAUAUUUGCGGAUAUCCCGUGGAAACCGUAUCUCUGGAAACCGGCGAUAGAAUUGCCCGCGAAUACGAAGAUUCGAUAGCAUUUCGAAAGUGCCGAUAAUAAGGAUUUCUUUGUACGAAGAAAUCUCAACGAUUGCUGAUCUUUUGCAUCUUACGAAAACUCCAUCCGCAGCAAUGGCCAAUGGAUACUGGUUGGACAUGUCCAAUUAUAUGUUCAGGAAUCGAAUUCUACUACUAUAUUUUUCAUAAUAAAUAUAUAACAUUCAGAAUUUGAGGAGAAUUAUAAGUGAUGA